rnacentral:lncRNA from 1 species
CUUCAGCCCCUCGCAAGGAGCCUGGAGUUUAAAGAAUUCAGGUAGUGAGACACAAUGAGACACAGUGACUUUGCAGCCCUGGUACUGUGCUUUUCUCCUGAUCUCAGCAGAUGCAGUCUUGCUCACUGCUCUUGGGAUUCACCUUGCGGGGACUGACGGAAGGUGGAGCUUCCAGGAAGCCGUUGUCUCUAAAGCCAGGACUAAACAGGGACCUCCCUGGCCUCAGUCAAGAGCUAUUUUUUGUACUUCUUGGGCAUCACCGUGGGGCAGUCAGUUCUCUCACAGAAUCUGUUUUGGAGUGAAGGCUGCGACGGGGGUUGGCAGACUGCGGUCUCUGAAGACGCAGGCAAUGUGGGCUACAGCCUGGUGAGUCCCUACAUCUCUACUAGCAACUUGCUCCUCUUCAGGGCUGCAACCUUCCCCAGGACACUAUCAAUUAGGCUCAUCGCUUUCCUUUAUUGUAAAACAAAGCUUGCCAUUUAUAGGAUUAAUUGGAGCAUGAAGACAUCACAGAGAAAACAAAUCAGCGUUGUGUUAACAGUUAAUUCAUCAUUCAAUAAAUACCUACGGUGUAAUACUGGCCGAAAUCCCAGCUCUGACACUGAAUUCUAAGAUACUGAGAGAACCGUAUCUACAAAUGCCACAAAUGCUGUCCCUCUUUUGUGAAGUGUACAGA